rnacentral:rRNA from 1 species
UACGUAGGGUGCAAGCGUUGUCCGGAAUUAUUGGGCGUAAAGAGCUCGUAGGCGGUUUGUCGCGUCUGCUGUGAAAACUCAGGGCUUAACCCUGAGCCUGCAGUGGGUACGGGCAGACUAGAGUGUGGUAGGGGAGAUCGGAAUUCCUGGUGUAGCGGUGGAAUGCGCAGAUAUCAGGAGGAACACCGGUGGCGAAGGCGGGUCUCUGGGCCGUAACUGACGCUGAGGAGCGAAAGCGUGGGGAGCGAACAGG